rnacentral:pre_miRNA from 14 species
AUGGCGCGCCCCAGGAAACACCGAUCCCGGACGAGCCCCCAAAUGAAAGAUCCCUGAAGAGAGACCCUUACUCAAAUUGGGAAAUCUCGAACCCCAAACACAGAGAGACCA